rnacentral:lncRNA from 1 species
AUUAACCUAACAACAUGCAUGACCUAUAUAAAUUUAAUUUUAGGGAUAAUUGCUUAUAUACCCCUCGUAUGUUUGAAAAUAUCCGAUUUAUUCCUACUUUUUUUUUUCUUUCUAAAAUAUCCCUCAUAUAUUCCACCCUUAUUGCAAAAUACCCCUGCAGUUAUCUCCUGUUAAGUUAAUUUAGGUUAAACGUGAGUUAAACAUCUACCACAGUUUAAAAAAAAAUAAAAUGCCAAUUUUGCUCUUAACUUAAGGGCAAAUAAAAAAUAUUGAUGACGGUAGAAGGGUAUAUUGGAAAAGACCAAAAGUCAAAAUACUUUUUAUGUCCCUGGCUUUAAGGGUAAAUAAGAAAGUCAGUGAUGGUAGAAGGGUAUAAUUGAAAGGGCAAAAUAGUAAUUUUAGAGAGAUAACAGAGUUCAUUAACACAUUUUAAUUCUAAGGGUAUAUUAGAAAUAGGUUGGAUUGUAGAAAUGACAUUUUCAAUAUUAGCCUUCUAAGAGGGGUAAAUUGAAAAGUCGAAAAAUUUUCAGGGUAUAUAAGCAAUUGCCUCUUAAUUUUAUAUAACCCACAUGAGCUACACCGACCGUCCCUAGAGCAGGUGGCAAAGGGUUUGAUGGUUGGUACCCGAUACCCAAGUUUGAAUCUUAGUUGAUUCACAUUUCCAGCUAAGUUUAUUUUUAAAUGAAAUAAACAAAGCGGGUAGCGUGCUACCUAUCUCUAAAAAAAAAAAAAAAAAAAAAAAAAAAAAAAAAAAAAAAAAAA